CCACGCCCUCCCGGAAGUGCCGCUCCGCUCCGGCUGCAGCGCCCGGCGGCCCCCAGCGGAGCAGAGCGGGACCCCCCCGGGGACACCGGGACCCCCAAAAACACCCCGGGGACACCGGGACCCCCCAAAAA